rnacentral:SRP_RNA from 1 species
GUCAGGUUCAGUGGUAUGCACCCCGUGGUCCCAGCUACUCAGGAGGCUAAGGCAAGAGGAUCGCUUGAGCCCAGGAGUUCUGGGCUGCAGUGUGCUAUACCGAUUAGGUGUCUGCACUAAAUUCGGUAUCAAUAUGAUGACCUCCCGAGAUCAAGGGGCUGGGGUAAGCACCAGGUUGCCUAAGAAUGGUGAACUGGUCCAGGUCAGAAAUGGGCCAGGUCAAAACUCUCAUGCUUAUUAGUAGUGGGAUAGUGCCUGUAAAUAUCUACUCCACUUAAGGCUGGGUAACAAAGUGAGACCUCAGCUCU